rnacentral:rRNA from 1 species
AACUUUCAACAACGGAUCUCUUGGUUCUGGCAUCGAUGAAGAACGCAGCGAAAUGCGAUAAGUAAYGUGAAUUGCAGAAUUCAGUGAAUCAUCGAAUCUUUGAACGCACMUUGCGCCCCUUGGUAUUCCGAGGGGCAUSCCUGUUCGAGCGUCAUUA